UCUACGGGUGGCAGCAGUGGGGAAUAUUGGACAAUGGGCGAAAGCCUGAUCCAGCCAUGCCGCGUGUGUGAAGAAGGCCUUCGGGUUGUAAAGCACUUUCAGUGGGGAAGAAAGCCUUGGGGCUAAUACCCUCGAGGAAGGACAUCACCCACAGAAGAAGCACCGGCUAACUCCGUGCCAGCAGCCGCGGUAAUACGGAGGGUGCGAGCGUUAAUCGGAAUUACUGGGCGUAAAGCGCGCGUAGGCGGUCUGAUAAGCCGGUUGUGAAAGCCCCGGGCUCAACCUGGGAACGGCAUCCGGAACUGUCAGGAUAGAGUGCAGGAGAGGAAGGUAGAAUUCCCGGUGUAGCGGUGAAAUGCGUAGAGAUCGGGAGGAAUACCAGUGGCGAAGGCGGCCUUCUGGACUGACACUGACGCUGAGGUGCGAAAGCGUGGGUAGCAAACAGGAUUAGAUACCCCAGUAGUC
rnacentral:rRNA from 1 species